rnacentral:lncRNA from 1 species
UAUACUUCAGGGCCCCUGCUAAGUUUCCUGCAAGGGACAAAUCAAUGCCUUCUUUAGCCAACAUGAUUCCCCCAUCUUCCUCCCGUUACAGUGCAAUGGACAUUGGCCACAAAUAGAGGAGGGAGUUUUGACUGAGAUGCUUUGGUGACUCUAGAGGAAACCAGUCAAGGCCUCUACUAAAGAACCAGACAAGCAGACAUGGUUAGAUUUACCGGGGUUGAUUAUAUUUUUUCUGCUUACAAGAGCUGAAGAGGAAAAAUAAGUGGUCAGAAAUUUGUUCUUGGUUGCGUCUAAAAGAAUCAUAAAAUAAAGAACAAUGUUACUCAAGAAUAUCACUUCCUAACCAGCAGCUGACUGAAGUGCCUUGUUGCAAGUCUGAAGAUCUACCUGUAGAGUAUAAGAAGGCUUACUCAAUAUGGAUGCAACUAAGUGCUGUGCUACAUGAUGCCAAGAUGUGGCUGCUGCUACGUGCUUGUUCUUGAAAACCAGAUGUUUUUCCCUUUUGACAAAAUGGUGCAGCUCUUCAUUAGCGAUACUGAAGAUCCAACAUGGGAUCACACAGAAGAGGAAGCAGAAGCAGAAGCAGAAGCAGACUCUGGUUCAUUCCUGUGUACAUGUGGGUGCUUUCCCUUGCACUGCUGAAUAGAGCUGCCUGCUACUGGGGCAACUAAACAGAACCAACAAUAGAGAAGCUCCCUUAGUAACUCCACAUGGCAAGAUAGCGGAAGAGGACAGCAGAAUGGAAGAGCUCAUGGAAGAGAAGAAUAAGGCAUGCCUGCCUCUAAA